rnacentral:rRNA from 1 species
UACGUAGGAUGCAAGCGUUGUUCGGAAUGACUGGGCGUAAAGCGCGCGUAGGCGGAUCAGGAAGUUGGGGGUGAAAUCCCGGGGCUCAACCCCGGAAUGGCCUUCAAAACUCCUGGUCUUGAGUUCGAGAGAGGUGAGUGGAAUUCCGAGUGUAGAGGUGAAAUUCGUAGAUAUUCGGAGGAACACCAGUGGCGAAGGCGGCUCACUGGCUCGACACUGACGCUGAGGUGCGAAAGCGUGGGGAGCAAACAGG